GCCUCUGUAGCAUAGUAGCUAUUGCGGCUGCCUAGUAUUGAUUGAUUGCUGAGAUUCUCAACAUCAUCGAACGAAAGCAGCAGGUCGCGAGUGCAAUUCUCGCCAGAGGCU
rnacentral:tRNA from 1 species